GAUGAACGCUAGCGGCAGGCCUAAUACAUGCAAGUCGAACGGAAUAUAGUUUUCGGAUUAUAUUUAGUGGCGCACGGGUGAGUAACACGUACAUAACUUACCCUCAAGAGGGGGAUAGCCUUGGGAAACUGAGCGUAAUACCCCAUAGUAUUAUUGAACGGCAUCGUUUGAUAAUUAAAGCUACGGCGCUUGAGGAUAGAUGUGCGUCUGAUUAGCUAGUUGGUAAGGUAACGGCUUACCAAGGCGACGAUCAGUAGGGGGCGUGAGAGCGUGGCCCCCCACACGGGUACUGAGACACGGACCCGACUCCUACGGGAGGCAGCAGUAAGGAAUAUUGGUCAAUGCCCGGAAGGGUGAACCAGCCAUGCCGCGUGAAGGAUGACUGCCCUCUGGGUUGUAAACUUCUUUUGGAUGGGACGAAAAAACGGGAUUUAUCCUGGACUGACGGUACCAUCAGAAUAAGCACCGGCUAACUCCGUG
rnacentral:rRNA from 2 species